UACGAAGGGGGCGAGCGUUGUUCGGAAUUACUGGGCGUAAAGGGCGCGUAGGCGGCCGAUCAAGUCAGAUGUGAAAGUCCUGGGCUUAACCUGGGGACUGCAUUUGAUACUGAUUGGCUUGAAUUCGGGAGAGGAUAGCGGAAUUCCCAGUGUAGAGGUGAAAUUCGUAGAUAUUGGGAAGAACACCGGUGGCGAAGGCGACUAACUGGACACGUAUUGACGCUGAGGUACGAAAGCGUGGGGAGCAAACAGG
rnacentral:rRNA from 1 species